UUUGCCCUUGUUCUUCUGUAUCGGGGGCGUCAUGGAGUGGAUCAUGAUUAACGUGAGAAUAGGAAAAGAAACGUUUUAUGAUGUCUACAGAAGAAAACAAUCGGAGAGGGAAUACCAGCACAAGACUGAGGAGGGCUUUGUGCUCACAGACUCUGAAGCCAAAUGAGAUCAUCAGAACACACUGGAAAUAAAUGAUCGUCAUGAUAAAGAGACUGAAACAAAAACAGUUUUGAGACUUUUGCACACUAACACAUUUUUGAUAUCAUUCAAAAAUGGGUAUAUUAUUAUACAUAAACUGUAGGGCAGCUGUGACAUGGACUGCGUGAUUAUGAGAACAAAUGAGGUGCAGAAGGCUGCCAAUGUUUGUUUCUGUAAGGAAGAUGGCAUUUUUUGUAUUGUCUAAAAGAUAAAGAUGGCUGUUUACACAAAAAAA